rnacentral:rRNA from 1 species
GAGUUUGAUCCUGGCUCAGGAUGAACGCUGGCGGCGUGCUUAACACAUGCAAGUCGAACGGAGAUAUCAUUUUCGAAGCGAUUAGUUUACUAAGAGUGGAGAUGUUGGUAUCUUAGUGGCGGACGGGUGAGUAACGCGUGGGUAACCUGCCUUACACUGGGGGAUAACAUUUAGAAAUAGGUGCUAAUACCGCAUAACAGGGAAAGAUGCAUGUCUUUUCCUUGAAAACUCCGGUGGUGUAAGAUGGACCCGCGUCUGAUUAACUGGUUGGCGGGGUAACGGCCCACCAAGGCGACGAUCAGUAGCCGGCCUGAGAGGGUGAACGGCCACAUUGGGACUGAGACACGGCCCAAACUCCUACGGGAGGCAGCAGUGGGGAAUAUUGGACAAUGGGGGGAACCCUGAUCCAGCGACGCCGCGUGAGUGAAGAAGUAUUUCGGUAUGUAAAGCUCUAUCAGCAGGGAAGAAAGAAAUGACGGUACCUGACUAAGAAGCCCCGGCUAACUACGUGCCAGCAGCCGCGGUAAUACGUAGGGGGCAAGCGUUAUCCGGAUUUACUGGGUGUAAAGGGAGCGUAGACGGCGAUGCAAGUCUGAAGUGAAAGGCGGGGGCCCAACCCCCGGACUGCUUUGGA